UAGGGAAUAUUGGACAAUGGGUGAGAGCCUGAUCCAGCCAUGCCGCGUGCAGGAAGAAGGCGUUAUGCGUUGUAAACUGCUUUUGCCAGGGGAUAAAAUGACCGUGCGCGGUUAAUUGAAGGUACCUGGUGAAUAAGCCACGGCUAACUACGUGCCAGCAGCCGCGGUAAUACGUAGGUGGCAAGCGUUGUCCGGAUUUAUUGGGUUUAAAGGGUGCGUAGGUGGCCCUGUAAGUCAGUGGUGAAAUAUCUCAGCUUAACUGAGAGGGUGCCAUUGAUACUGCAGGGCUUGAGUACAGAUGAGGUAGGCGGAAUUGACGGUGUAGCGGUGAAAUGCAUAGAUAUCGUCAAGAACACCGAUAGCGAAGGCAGCUUACCAAGCUGUAACUGACACUGAGGCACGAAAGUGUGGGGAUCAAACAGGAUUAGAUACCCGGGUAGUCCCUGAGCGGGCUGGCAAGGCGCAU
rnacentral:rRNA from 1 species